rnacentral:lncRNA from 1 species
CUUUUUGUUUCAUUUGGAAUGUUUUUCAGUUCUAGAAUUUAUGUUUGGUUGUGUAGCAUAGAUUCUAGUUCACUGAAGAAAAUCUCAAACUAGAAGUAAACAAUCAUCUUAAAAUCAGUGAAUCUAGGUAUAUUUUGGGACCUAAGACAAGGCUUUCACUCUCCAAAGCAGAUGUCUGUGUCCUUUCUGGCGGGCAUCUAAGGGCUCCAGCAAUACUGAAUCGACUGCAAAUCGCACAUUGAAAACGUUUCCACCUCAGCCUCAGUUUCUGCAAAGCUGCUGCAUUUCCAGUUCACCUUCACUUCCAGAGCAGAAUGCAUGUGCAGAGAAAAGACUUACCAAGGAAAAUGUAAUCCAAUGUGGUAAGAGAAAGACAGAGCCUCUCAAAAAUCUUCAGCUAUAUCCAAGAAAAUAUGCAGAAAGAGCAUAAUGGAAGAAGUUCCUUCAGGCUUCUGUCUCACCACUUUUUUCCUUCUCAUAAUGAAUUCAGACAUGUUAAGAAAUAAACUGAUUUGAGCCAUAACCCA